GCAGCCGCCGCGGUAAUACGGAGGGUGCAAGCGUCAAUCGGAAUUACUGGGCGUAAAGCGCACGCAGGCGGUCUGUCAAGUCAGAUGUGAAAUCCCCGGGCUUAACCUGGGAACUGCAUUUGAAACUGGCAGGCUAGAGUCUUGUAGAGGGGGGUAGAAUUCCAGGUGUAGCGGUGAAAUGCGUAGAGAUCUGGAGGAAUACCGGUGGCGAAGGCGGCCCCCUGGACAAAGACUGACGCUCAGGUGCGAAAGCGUGGGGAGCAAACAGGAUUAGAUACCCCAGUAGUCCCUGUCUCUUAUAA
rnacentral:rRNA from 1 species